AGGCCUAACACAUGCAAGUCGAGCGCCCCGCAAGGGGAGCGGCAGACGGGAGAGUAACACGUGGGAACGCACCCUUCAGUUCGGAACAACCCAGGGAAACUUGGGCUAAUACCGGAUACGUCCGCGAGGAGAAAGAUUUAUCGCUGAAGGAUCGGCCCGCGUCUGAUUAGCUUGUUGGUGGGGUAAUGGCCCACCAAGGCUACGAUCAGCAGCUGGUCUGAGAGGAUGAUCAGCCUCACUGGGACUGAGACACGGCCCAG
rnacentral:rRNA from 1 species